rnacentral:misc_RNA from 1 species
GAUGAAGAACGUAGCGAAAUGCAAUAAGUAAUGUGAAUUGCAGAAUUCAGUGAAUCAUCGAAUCUUUGAACGCACAUUGCGCCCCUUGGUAUUCCGAGGGGCAUGCCUGUUCGAGCGUCAUUAUAACCCCUCAAGCUCAGCUUGGUGUUGGGGCCUGCCGCACGGGCAGCCCUUAAAAUCAGUGGCGGUGCUAUCUGGCUCUAAGCGUAGUAAUUCUUCUCGCUAUAGAGUCCCGGUGGAUGCUUGCCAUUAACCCCCAAUUUUCUAUGGUUGACCUCGGAUCAGGUAGGGAUACCCGCUGAACUUAAGCAUAUCAAUAAGCGGAGGA